UACAGAGGGGGCAAGCGUUGUUCGGAAUUACUGGGCGUAAAGGGCGCGUAGGCGGCCUGCUAAGUCGAACGUGAAAUCCCUGGGCUCAACCCAGGAACUGCGUCCGAUACUGGUUGGCUUGAAUCCGGGAGAGGGAUGUGGAAUUCCAGGUGUAGCGGUGAAAUGCGUAGAUAUCUGGAGGAACACCGGUGGCGAAGGCGACAUCCUGGACCGGUAUUGACGCUGAGCGCGAGAGCCAGGGGAGCAAACGGG
rnacentral:rRNA from 1 species